rnacentral:sRNA from 1 species
ACACGGGAAAGGAGGUGAUCCGAUAGAUGAUUGGUUAUCGGACGCGUGAGGUGGUCGCCGGCUGACGCUGGGACCAAUGCGAACCACGUCGCCAAUUCCAGGCGGCCACCCGGCCCCCGAGCAUCGGUGUUCGUCCAGCCGACUCCGCUGUCACAGUGGGAAGCGCUCGGGGGCCGCCCCAU